rnacentral:rRNA from 1 species
UACGUAGGGUGCGAGCGUUAAUCGGAAUUACUGGGCGUAAAGCGUGCGCAGGCGGCGCCGCAAGUCAGGCGUGAAAUCCCCGAGCUUAACUUGGGAAUGGCGCUUGAAACUACGGUGCUGGAGUGUGUCAGAGGGAGGUGGAAUUCCACGUGUAGCGGUGAAAUGCGUAGAGAUGUGGAGGAACACCGGUGGCGAAGGCGGGUCUCUGGGCAACAACUGACGCUGAGGAGCGAAAGCGUGGGGAGCGAACAGG